rnacentral:lncRNA from 1 species
UUAAGAAUACUAAGAGGUAUUAUCUUCUUUCUUAGCUUCUAUACAUGUUUAAAUUCCUGUGAUUGAGUUCACUAAAUAGAAAACAGGAACAUGUACACCCCAUUCUAAAUGACUGAGAAAGAAAUGGAUAAACAAGACCAUAUUUAGCAAAGCAUUUUAAUUUGGGGAAGAAACUGAACAAAGAAAAGAAAAAGAACAUUAAUAAUGCUGAACUUCAGUGAACUACAUUUAUUAGCAUCCAUGUUGUUCUCCCAGUUAAUAUAGAGAUAUCUUGUAUUAUACAGAAUAACUGUCACCCAUGUUUCCAUUUAUGACAACAUUCUGAAAAUAUUCCGAUUUGCUCAAAGCAGAGAUCAUCGAUGCCAGCUGAUUGAGUGCACUAACCUUCCCAGAUCUAUACAUGUGCAUGCUUGUAUAUGUAUAAAUGUAUACAGUGGUCACACCUCUGAGACUUUUUGGCUGCUGGUCAUCAACGGAUGAAACAAGGUUAAAUAAAUCACAAGCACCAUUCUACUGGAGUCAAGGUUACAGCAAAGAAAGAAGGAGUUGGUGAAGAUUGAGGUUAGUGGUUGUAGAAAACAAGGUGGUCAGCUCUAAAAAUGGGAGCUUGGUUUUGACAAAACUGUGAAGCAGGUAAAGACCGGCUUC